UACAGAGGUCCCAAGCGUUGUUCGGAUUCACUGGGCGUAAAGGGUGCGUAGGCGGUCGGGUAAGUCUGGCGUGAAAUCUCCAAGCCUAACUUGGAAACUGCGUUGGAUACUAUCCGGCUCGAGGAAUGGAGGGGAGACUGGAAUACUUGGUGUAGCAGUGAAAUGCGUAGAUAUCAAGUGGAACACCAGUGGCGAAGGCGAGUCUCGGGACAUUUCCUGACGCUGAGGCACGAAAGCCAGGGGAGCAAACGGG
rnacentral:rRNA from 1 species